rnacentral:rRNA from 1 species
UACGGGGGGAGCAAGCGUUGUUCGGAUUUACGGGGCGUAAAGGGCGCGUAGGCGGUAGCACAAGUCAGUUGUGAAAUCUCCGGGCUUAACUCGGAAAGGUCAACUGAUACUGUGCGACUAGAGUGCAGAAGGGGCAACUGGAAUUCUCGGUGUAGCGGUGAAAUGCGUAGAUAUCAGGAAGAACACCCGUGGCGAAGGCGGCUCUCUGGGACGGUACUGACGCUGAGACGCGAAAGCGUGGGUAGCGAACAGG